rnacentral:lncRNA from 1 species
GAUCAAGAAAAGCUGUCUGAAACUCUUAACAUACUUGGCAUGCAGCUAAGUCGAUCCAGACAGGAUCUGACUCGACUCAGUAUCAGUUAAUAGGAAAGACAAAAAUCUUGCUAUUUCAGAAUAAAUCUUCUGAGCCAACCCAAAGAUCAACUUAGUCGAUCCAAUCUGAAGCUUAGCCGAUUUAGUAAAGGGAAGAGCCAACUCAGUCUCAGAGGAA